rnacentral:rRNA from 1 species
UUCCAGACUCCUACGGGAGGCAGCAGUGGGGAAUAUUGCACAAUGGGGGAAACCCUGAUGCAGCGACGCCGCGUGAGUGAAGAAGUAUUUCGGUAUGUAAAGCUCUAUCAGCAGGGAAGAUAAUGACGGUACCUGAGUAAGAAGCCCCGGCUAACUACGUGCCAGCAGCCGCGGUAAUACGUAGGGGGCAAGCGUUAUCCGGAUUUACUGGGUGUAAAGGGAGCGUAGACGGCAUGGCAAGUCUGAAGUGAAAGCCCGGGGCUCAACCGCGGGACUGCUUUGGAAACUGUUAAGCUGGAGUGCAGGAGAGGUAAGUGGAAUUCCUAGUGUAGCGGUGAAAUGCGUAGAUAUUAGGAGGAACACCAGUGGCGAAGGCGGCUUACUGGACUGUAAAUGACGCUGAGGCUCGAAAGCGUGGGGAGCAAACAGGAUUAGAUACCCCUGUAGG